rnacentral:lncRNA from 1 species
UUUUUUUUUGCAAUUAGCCCUCUGAAAAAAAAAAAAAAAAAUAAAAAUAGUUCCAGCAAAUUUAAAUUUGCAAAAAUGGUCAUGAACUUACCAUGUAGGCGUCACAUCAGCGCCACAUGGACUGAUUGGGGUGUUAAGUUGAACAUGAUAAACCAUUUACCGUGUUUAAAUACGGUGAAUGAUUCACCGUGUUCCAGUGUUUAGAUACAGUGAAUGAUUCACUGUAUUUAACUUAAUCAACUAGCCUCACCCGGCACACAUGGCGCUAACGUAGCGCCUACAUGGCAGGGGCAGGACUAGUUUUGCAAAUUUAAAUUUACUGAGGCUAUUUUUAAAAUAAAUUUUUUUCAUGGGGCUAAUUGCAAAAAAAGCUCAAAUUUUAAAUUUUAAAUUUUUUUCAGGGGGCUAACGUAGCGCCUACAUGGCAGGGGCAGGACUAGUUUGGCAAAUUUAAAUUUUUUUCAGGGGGCUAAUUGCAAAAAAAGCUCAAAUAUUUUUCAGCGCCACGUGGACGGAUUGGGGUGUUAAGUUGAACAUGGUAAACCAUUUACCGUGUUUAAAUACGGUGAAUGAUUCACCGUGUUCCAGUGUUUAGACACGGUAAUGAUUCACUGUAUUUAACAUAAUCAACUGGCCUCACUCGGCACACAUGGAGCUAACGUCGCACCUACAUGGCAGGGGCAGGACUAGUUUUGCAAAUUUAAAUUUACUGAGGCUAUUUUUAAAAUAAAUUUUUUUCAUGAGACUAAUUGCAAAAAAAGCCCAAAUUUAAAUUUUGUAUUUUUUUAAUAUGUAGGCAUUAAUUGUGCGACUUAAAUUGCAUCUAUCGGAACAGAUUUUAUUACAAUAUUAAUUAGUAAAAUUAAUU